AGCAGCCGCGGUAAUUCCAGCUCCAAUAGCGUAUAUUAAAGUUGUUGCAGUUAAAAAGCUCGUAGUUGAAUUUCGGGACCAAUAUGUCGGUCGUGCCUCGGUACGUACUGGUGUCAUUGGUUUCUCCCUUCUGAGGAUCCUUGAUGUCAUUAAUUUGGUGUCUUGGGGAAUCAGGACUGUUACCUUGAAAAAAUUAGAGUGUUUAAAGCAGGCAUACGCUUGAAUACAUUAGCAUGGAAUAAUGAAAUAGGACGUUCGAUUCUAUUUUGUUGGUUUCUAGGAUCGACGUAAUGAUUAAUAGGGAUAAUUGGGGGCAUUAGUAUUCAAUUGUCAGAGGUGAAAUUCUUGGAUUUAUUGAAGACUAACUACUGCGAAAGCAUUUGCCAAGGAUGUUUUCAUUAAUCAAGAACGAAAGUUAGGGGAUCGAAGACGAUCAGAUACCGUCGUAGU
rnacentral:rRNA from 1 species